CACCAAGCGAAGCACAAAGCUGCUCACUGAUUCCAACAUGGAGUCGACACACAGUUUGUUGAACACAAGCGCAAUCAUGUGGACAGACUGAAGAGUGUUCUCCAUCUACGAGCUUGGUGGAGGUGAUGUCCAGCUGCUGGUACUGCUCCUUCAGCUUGGAGAACUCCGCCUCCAGCCUGGUCUGCUCCAGCUUGGCACUGUUCAGCUGACUCUUGAUGUUCUUGUGAUCCACCUGGAGGCUCUCGUUGUCCUUCAGUAGCUGGCGAAGACUCGGAGGUGGAUCUGACCUGUCGUUUUCCUCUUUGAGCAGUUUGCACUGGUCGGCUGUGGCUCGGUGGUUCUGGUUCUCCAGGGUAAUUUUAUCUUGCUGCUCCUUCAGAUUCUUCUCCAGAUCUUCCAAAUCUCCUUUCCUCUGUAGGAGCUGCUUGUACCUGCAAGUAUAAAACACAUCUUUUAGUUUCACUGUUCUUAUCAGCGCCUCCAAACCUGACUCCUCACUUGUCCUCCAGGUCUCGGUGUUGCUGUU